UACAAUAAUGUACAUAUAUACACAUAUAUACAUACAUAUACAUAAAAAGUGAAUAAAUUUAUACUCGAUAAGUGUUUAACACUUGUUUCAAGAUAAACACAAUAAAAGGAAAGGAAUACAGUACUUACAAUGAAAUUUCAGUGCAUAUUCACAAUAAACAUACAUAUAUUACAUAUAAACCAACAGUUGCAUAAAAAUACAGUACACUAAAAAAAUACACAAACUACAUCAACGAACUAGGUGCACUAGUCUGCUGGAACCUAAUGAAAAUAUUCAUACAACACUUCUCUAGGCGUUUCCAAUAUAUAUAUUUUAAGUUUUUUCUUGAAUGAAGAAAAUGACGCAUUAUGAAUUUUUAAAUAAUCAGGUAUCGUAUUAUAUAAUUUUGGAGCCAAAUACAUAUUGGAUCUUUGACCUAUAUUUUUUUGCAUCAAAGGAGGUAAGUAUUUAUUUAUUUUCCUUGUUUCAUAGUGAUGUGUGAUUAAUUCGCAUUUGUCCUCUACUAAAUGAUAUCUAGAGAUACAAUUAUAAUAGUAUAGUUGCCUUAUAUCGAGCAUUUUGGCUUCACUAAAUAAUUCGCUAGUAGAGUAAGUUUGUUCCUUCUUAAAUAUUAUCUUUAGAAAUCUUUUUUGCAGUAUUUGAAGAGGUUCAAUAUGACUCUUAACAGCAGAGCCCCAGGCUAAUAUAGCAUAAUUUAUAUGGCUUUCCACUAAGGAGUAAUAGAUGGUCUUCAAAUACUGCAUGGAUAACAAACUACCGAGAUACUUAAAGGAAGAAUCGUAAAAAUGUUUCUGUUGAUUUCUAUAUUCAAGCAAUCAAAGGAUGGAAUUGUUGAUUUAUUACAUGUAAAAGUUUAAGGCACUCUCCUCUGACUCCUAUAUUUUCUAAUGACUGCAAAAGUAGAGAAUGGCUGACAGUAUCAAAGGCUUUGGUUAAAUCAAUGAACGUGCAUAAGCAAGGCAAACCCUUAUCAAGUGCUAGGGAAACUUUGUUUAUAAGUGUAAUGAUUGCAUCUUGCGUCGAUGUGUUUUCCUUAAAGCCAUACUGUUCCUGAGCUAGGAGUUUAUUCCUAUUUAAAAAUGAUACUAUUCUAUUUUUAAUAAUUUUUUCAAAAAUUUUGUUAAAGUUUGUUACUAGA